GAGACAUCAGUGUUAUCGAUAAGUCUCAAUACUUGUUGGAUGGUGUACAUGGUUUCAGUUGGACUUGGUGGUGCUAUAAGCACAAGAGUUUCAAAUGAAUUGGGGGCUGGUCGUCCACAAGGAGCACGAUUAGCUUUACAUGUUGUCGUAAUUGUGGCCAUAUCAGUAGGACUGAUAAUCGCGACCACCACCAUUUUGGUUCGUUUUGUGUGGGGGAAACUAUACAGCAACGAAGAAGAAGUGAUCAAAUACGUUGCCAAGAUUUUGCCUCUGCUUGCUUUAUCUGAUUUCUUGGAUGGCUUCCAAUGUGUGCUUUCAGGGGCUGCUAGAGGAUGUGGAUGGCAA
rnacentral:misc_RNA from 1 species